rnacentral:lncRNA from 1 species
UCAAACAUAACAACAAUAGGACUAUAAAAUUGCUACAAUACUCCUCUAUUAAUUAAUUUAUUAUGAAUAAUUACAUUGGAAUAGAGUUUUAUUUAAACCACAACUCACAUGUAAAAUGACAUAAUUGCUUUCUUAAAAGGAAAAAAAAUUAGUAUUUACAGUUAUUCCAGCAUCAUAGCUAAAUUAUAAUCUUAUGUGAUCAACCCAAAUUCCCAAUUCCCCACUCUCAC